UGUUAUACCUCGUGGCUUAUAAAGUCAGCCUUAGUGUCAGGCCAGACGAGUGUGCUAAUAUCCAACCCAGUUUUUGACACGAGCUCCCACACCUUGCAUGGCCAAAAAUAAUGUUGGAGAAGCUCGGGCAUGAGUGAGCGCAGACCUUCUCUACAAAGGGGGGAAAUAGAUUGAAACGAAAAGGCAGAAAGUAGUAGACUCUCGCUAUUCUGGCUCUCUGAAGUACGGCCACCUCGAUAUACCGGCCAUUUGGCUUGGCACGGAAUGCUAGCUAUAUGUUUACUGCACAAAACUCACCGGCCACUCGCUAUUCCAUAUACCAGCCAGUGCUGGCUUUCCCAAACAAGGUUUUCAUUUAUACGUGUAUUACGACCGGAUAUGACGUUUUGGGUGUGGUUUAGCAAAUAAAAUUGAUUCAUUUUAUCCUCGAGGCAAAAUUAGUCAUUAGAUUCAAGGUAAGGUCGUUUUUAAGCCGUGGCUAUUUCCCGAAAUACAGCCACCUCGCUAUUCCGGCCAAGCUGCAUGAUCCCAAGGGUGACCGGAUUAACGAGAGUCUACUGUAGCUUAAUAUUCAAUUAUGCUAAUUACUUAAUAAGAAGAACUGCAAAUGCGGCCUAAGAUCAAGCAAGGCUAGAUUAACUUAUCAUUGCUAGGUACUAGUAUCCAGCGAGGGAAGAGUAUAAGAGUUACUGUAUUCUCGAGAUACAAAGAGUGGCUGUCAGAACUAGUAUAGCUAAGGCAGUUUUGCACAUAUUGACUUCCCCCGCUGGAAACAUAAUCAUGACAACCUACUCUAUCUUUUGAGGGCCUAGUCUUACCUCGUCUAAGUCCACCGCAUUUGUUGCCAAGAUUCUGUACAAUAGUUGCAUGCAGCAGCUAGCUACCUUGACACAUGACAUCACUUGGCAAUGCAAUGAAUACCGAUUACUUGAAUGUUUUGCGAGCAUCAAACUUUGCGAUGGUUGAUCAAAUCCGCAACACAAGUAAAUACAUUGCCAAAACGCAAUAGUUGUUCGCAAAGGGUCGGCUCGUUUACAAAGGUUUUCACUCACAAAAUAUUCUAAAUCUACCAUCAUUUACAUUAAAUGCUGGUAAUUAACGCAACACUCAUUAUAAGUAGUGUAGCUCUCCUUGUUCUGCUGAGCCUCUGUAAAUUAUAACGUAACUUAUAAUGCAUGUAAAUAUAAGUCUGAACACUUACUGAUUUUUGCUGCCUCCCUUACUUCCCUCCUCUCGGCUAGCCAUUCGGCCUUUGAUAGGUUAGACGUCUGCGGACAAUACCACUGGCCGUAAACUGUGUAUGGUUACCAGACACCAUUGGUUGCCCACAACUUCCUUGUUUGUAGAGCAGGAGCGGUCAAAGCUGCUGCCACUGCCAUGCGCCAUUCCGUUGUCCUUGAAGUACGCUUUUCUAUAAAAUAGUGAAUUAAUUUUUACAGUAAUAAGAUAUUCCACAAAUUCUAGAUUCGAAAGGAUAAGUUUUUCAGAGCCAACAGGUGGCAUUUGUUCAGUUGGUGGUGGUGGUAGUUGUUCUUCAAUUUGGGACAGAAUAACAAUAAAUUUGACACGAAUCAUUGGAGGCUUGUAUAUCACUGGUGAUGAUGGUGGUGCUGGUGGUCGUAGCAGUGGGGUGUCAGAGCAAGAUGCGGGGGUUGAGGUGCUGAUCCCCUGCAUCAGCAUUUUCACUUCAUUUACCCUGGUAGUUGUCUAACUUCAUUAUUCGUGGACUUAAUUUUCUCGUGUAGGAUUGCUAAUCCACGAAAAUUAUAAGCCCCUCGAAAAUUUCGCGCUAUACGGUAUUUUGAUUCUGUCAGUUAUUGCGCAUGCGCAAACCAUAUUGCUUUGCUGAAUCAGCAAUAAUAAACUGCUCAAGACAAUGGCGACUGCAAAGAAAACGAAGAAAGAGCUCACAAGACUCACUGUAUUGGAGAGAUAAAAGACUAUUCUAGCUAGCAUUCUGGCCACAGUAAUAUCAUAAUACAUGUAUAAAAUUGUCUUCGUUAAUGAUAUUCAUAAUCAAUUAAUGACAUCCGUUAAUCUGGAAA